rfam:Lingula anatina scaffold136, whole genome shotgun sequence.
GGUACUGUAGCCAAGUGGUUAAGGCAGAAGUCUGCAAAACUUCUACGCGUUGGUUCGAAUCCAAUCAGUACCU